rnacentral:lncRNA from 1 species
UCUUCCCUCUUACAUGAUUGUCUUUGGUAGUUGCUUUGCUCUGUUCUUAUUUUCUCUUUUAUUGCUCCGUUCCUUCGAAGCCUCUUCUUGGUUUUGCUCUUCUUGAUACAGAUUGGUCAGGUGAGCUUUUUCUUUUACUGAACUAUCUCAUCUAUAAUGCUGUUUAUUCCAAUAUGUUUUUUUGGUCGAACAUUCGUGGACUAACUCAGCUUUACUUACUUUGUUUAUGGGUGUUUUAUAUUUUGCCGUUGCAUUAAGGUAAGCCUAUGUUAAAUUUCCUGUCUUCUUUGAUUCUUUAUUCUACCUUUCAUUUAUCCAUUAUUUGUUCUUAUUUGUGUUCUGCCUUUUUCCCCUGUUUUCCCUUUACAUUUUGCAUGAGCUUUCUUCGUCUGUGGUUGCUGUAAGGAACUUUCUUUCUUUGUCACUAGACACUUGCAAAUUGGACUGUUCUGUGAGCCACCGAAUGUUUUGCUUCCACUCAAAAGAGUGACAAUAAUUGUGCUUUUUCUUCAAUGGUUGGGCCUAUUUUCCACCUUGCCUAACCUUUUAAACUAUACCUGCUUCUUUGACUUUGCCGUCGAUUUUCCGUCUUGUUCGUAUGGUGUUAGGAGCUGUUUUUCUUCUCAGAAGGUGAUGGGAUUUGGUGGAUGACGAGCUCAAGAAGGUAAGGGGCUAGUAAUCUUCUGUCUUGGUUACUCUUUCCAUUUUUCUCUUUUUUCUUCAUUUCCCUUUUCCCUCCUACCUCCCUCGAGUAAUAAUAGUUAGUUUCUUCUAUUUUUUUGCCUUUUUUUCCCUAAUCUUUUUUUUCCUUUGCUAAAAGCAACAAAUCAUUUUCUCCUCUCCUCUGCGUCUCUGUUUGUUAUGUUCUCAGAUAUUUUGCUAUUAAGAAAACUUCAUUUUUUUUGGGCUUUGUAAUCACUGAAUCUCCACUAUACUUAAUUUUCUGACAUGCUUCAUUUUUUCCCAUCUUUUAAGGAUUUAGCUUGCAUGUUUCAUCAAUAAAUAUUUUCAUCAUUUUAAUCUGGACUUGGAUAAUAGCUACAUUUUUUGUCCAUUUUUUCCUUUUGUUAGGUGGGAAAAGAUGAUUAAGAUUGGAGAUGAAUUGAUGAUGAUUUUGAUGGAGGUUUUACAUUCAUCCAUGGUUCCAGAUGUUUUACUGGAAACAUUAACCUUUACCCACCAUAUGUGUGUGUGUGUUUUUUUUACAGUUUCCUUUUUCUUUUCCAAAACUCACUUUCUUCUUGUUGCGAUUGCAGGUGUGAAGAGUUGGCAUUCUCACCAAUCUUCAUAUAUUUCAAAGGUAAGGCUUUAAUAUUUUGCUAAGUAAUUAUGCAAGGAAAAUUGUGUUAAGUUGACCAGAGUAGUUGUCGGGUUCUUAGACUAAAAAAUUUGUAGCAUCUUCAUGUCAUGGUAGUUUGAAUUCUAUUUCUCUUUCAUAGUUUUUUGUACUAGAAUUUCUUCUUAACUUUUGUGUGAAAGAACUGCUUUUGAUGGCUUACUUGAAGAAAGUAGGAGUAAUUGAAAUUGAUAUUUUAAAUCUGAGAAGUGGAUGAUGCCAUAGAGCUGGCAUUGCAACCAGAGAGACUUACAACAUGCUGUUAUGGCUUCCACUUGAAAUCUGGAG